rnacentral:snRNA from 1 species
GUGCUGUUUUUCACAGCACAUAUUCUAAAAUUGGAAACAUACGCAAGAUUAUUCUGAACCUUGAGCAAGGAUGAUGCACAGAUUCACAAAGUGUUCCAUAUUUUU